GAGAGGAAGCCGUGAAUUCGCGAAAGUCACGCGCGAGUUCGCGCCGAGAUGGAGACUCGGGGAGGAGAGUCCGUGACAAACGCGAAAAAUCUCAGUCGCUCUCUCUAUUCGCGUUUCCGUUCAAAUUGUUAUGUACCAAAGUCGACAAGAAGAUACGUUCUCUCGACGACAACUUUGCCAAAGGAAAAAUACGAAGGACGAUUUUCAUCCGCAGUAAGUUAAGAAGAUCACGUGUAAUGCGACUUUUCUCUUAUGCGGCAAGAGACGUCUACGAAUUGAAAUCGUUUCGUUUAAAGACAAAAUAGAAAAAAAAAAAAAAAACAACGCUCAAAAAGCCAUGUUCUCUUCCGUUCGAUUACGAGGUGUACGAAAUUCGAUUACGGGGAAACGCAUCGGAGCGGAAAGGUUCCCGUCGAUCGCACGUCGAGGCUGUCGAAAUAUAAAUUGGAGUACGUUGAUCUCGGAGAGUAGUCAUCGUGCGGCGAGUGUUUCGUUAAUUAACACGAGAUCGGAGAAAUAGGGGAAGCGCAGGAGCCUCGAUACACAGGAAGGAGGAGCCGUAGGGAGAGGCAGAGUCAGUCACGGAAUACAUUAUUCAAGCGAAGAGAAGCAAACACGAUGGGCAUGGAAAUCAACAUAGAGCAGAAUACAGGGCUACCGAGCCAAAAUGCAGAAGACCAGCUCGGGGCUACGUUAUUUCGGGAAAGGAUGUCCGAGAGGUUAAUACUCGACCGAAUAGGAUUAGGGAACGAUAGAAUUCCCUAUCGACGAUCGAAUAUAUCUGCACCCGUCAUCCCAAG